AUUGAACGCUGGCGGCAGGCCUAACACAUGCAAGUCGAGCGGAGCGGCGGACGGGUGAGUAAUGCCUAGGAAUCUGCCUGGUAGUGGGGGAUAACGUCCGGAAACGGGCGCUAAUACCGCAUACUAUCAGAUGAGCCUAGGUCGGAUUAGCUAGUGGGUGGGGUAAAGGCCUACCAAGGCGACGAUCCGUAACUGGUCUGAGAGGAUGAUCAGUCACAGUGCAAAGAGGACACGGUCCCAAAUCCUACGGGAGGCAGCAGUGAGGAAUCUUGGACAAGGGGCGAAAGCCUACUCCAGCCAUGCCGCGUGUGUGAGGAAGAUCUUCGGAUUGUAAAGCACUUUAAGUUGGGAGGCGUUACCAAAAGAAUAAGCACCGGCUAACUUCGUGCCAGCAGCCGCGGUAAUAC
rnacentral:rRNA from 1 species